UUAAGCGACUAAGCGUACACGGUGGAUGCCCUGGCAGUCAGAGGCGAUGAAGGACGUGCUAAUCUGCGAUAAGCGUCGGUAAGGUGAUAUGAACCGUUAUAACCGGCGAUUUCCGAAUGGGGAAACCCAGUGUGAUUCGUCACACUAUCAUUAACUGAAUCCAUAGGUUAAUGAGGCGAACCGGGGGAACUGAAACAUCUAAGUACCCCGAGGAAAAGAAAUCAACCGAGAUUCCCCCAGUAGCGGCGAGCGAACGGGGAGCAGCCCAGAGCCUGAAUCAGUGUGUGUGUUAGUGGAAGCGUCUGGAAAGGCGUGCGAUACAGGGUGACAGCCCCGUACACAAAAAUGCACAUAUUGUGAGCUCGAUGAGUAGGGCGGGACACGUGGUAUCCUGUCUGAAUAUGGGGGGACCAUCCUCCAAGGCUAAAUACUCCUGACUGACCGAUAGUGAACCAGUACCGUGAGGGAAAGGCGAAAAGAACCCCGGCGAGGGGAGUGAAAAAGAACCUGAAACCGUGUACGUACAAGCAGUGGGAGCACGCUUAGGCGUGUGACUGCGUACCUUUUGUAUAAUGGGUCAGCGACUUAUAUUCUGUAGCAAGGUUAACCGAAUAGGGGAGCCGAAGGGAAACCGAGUCUUAACUGGGCGUUAAGUUGCAGGGUAUAGACCCGAAACCCGGUGAUCUAGCCAUGGGCAGGUUGAAGGUUGGGUAACACUAACUGGAGGACCGAACCGACUAAUGUUGAAAAAUUAGCGGAUGACUUGUGGCUGGGGGUGAAAGGCCAAUCAAACCGGGAGAUAGCUGGUUCUCCCCGAAAGCUAUUUAGGUAGCGCCUCGUGAAUUCAUCUCCGGGGGUAGAGCACUGUUUCGGCAAGGGGGUCAUCCCGACUUACCAACCCGAUGCAAACUGCGAAUACCGGAGAAUGUUAUCACGGGAGACACACGGCGGGUGCUAACGUCCGUCGUGAAGAGGGAAACAACCCAGACCGCCAGCUAAGGUCCCAAAGUCAUGGUUAAGUGGGAAACGAUGUGGGAAGGCCCAGACAGCCAGGAUGUUGGCUUAGAAGCAGCCAUCAUUUAAAGAAAGCGUAAUAGCUCACUGGUCGAGUCGGCCUGCGCGGAAGAUGUAACGGGGCUAAACCAUGCACCGAAGCUGCGGCAGCGACGCUGAUGCGUUGUUGGGUAGGGGAGCGUUCUGUAAGCCUGCGAAGGUGUGCUGUGAGGCAUGCUGGAGGUAUCAGAAGUGCGAAUGCUGACAUAAGUAACGAUAAAGCGGGUGAAAAGCCCGCUCGCCGGAAGACCAAGGGUUCCUGUCCAACGUUAAUCGGGGCAGGGUGAGUCGACCCCUAAGGCGAGGCCGAAAGGCGUAGUCGAUGGGAAACAGGUUAAUAUUCCUGUACUUGGUGUUACUGCGAAGGGGGGACGGAGAAGGCUAUGUUGGCCGGGCGACGGUUGUCCCGGUUUAAGCGUGUAGGCUGGUUUUCCAGGCAAAUCCGGAAAAUCAAGGCUGAGGCGUGAUGACGAGGCACUACGGUGCUGAAGCAACAAAUGCCCUGCUUCCAGGAAAAGCCUCUAAGCAUCAGGUAACAUCAAAUCGUACCCCAAACCGACACAGGUGGUCAGGUAGAGAAUACCAAGGCGCUUGAGAGAACUCGGGUGAAGGAACUAGGCAAAAUGGUGCCGUAACUUCGGGAGAAGGCACGCUGAUAUGUAGGUGAAGUCCCUCGCGGAUGGAGCUGAAAUCAGUCGAAGAUACCAGCUGGCUGCAACUGUUUAUUAAAAACACAGCACUGUGCAAACACGAAAGUGGACGUAUACGGUGUGACGCCUGCCCGGUGCCGGAAGGUUAAUUGAUGGGGUCAGCGCAAGCGAAGCUCUUGAUCGAAGCCCCGGUAAACGGCGGCCGUAACUAUAACGGUCCUAAGGUAGCGAAAUUCCUUGUCGGGUAAGUUCCGACCUGCACGAAUGGCGUAAUGAUGGCCAGGCUGUCUCCACCCGAGACUCAGUGAAAUUGAACUCGCUGUGAAGAUGCAGUGUACCCGCGGCAAGACGGAAAGACCCCGUGAACCUUUACUAUAGCUUGACACUGAACAUUGAGCCUUGAUGUGUAGGAUAGGUGGGAGGCUUUGAAGUGUGGACGCCAGUCUGCAUGGAGCCGACCUUGAAAUACCACCCUUUAAUGUUUGAUGUUCUAACGUUGACCCGUAAUCCGGGUUGCGGACAGUGUCUGGUGGGUAGUUUGACUGGGGCGGUCUCCUCCUAAAGAGUAACGGAGGAGCACGAAGGUUGGCUAAUCCUGGUCGGACAUCAGGAGGUUAGUGCAAUGGCAUAAGCCAGCUUGACUGCGAGCGUGACGGCGCGAGCAGGUGCGAAAGCAGGUCAUAGUGAUCCGGUGGUUCUGAAUGGAAGGGCCAUCGCUCAACGGAUAAAAGGUACUCCGGGGAUAACAGGCUGAUACCGCCCAAGAGUUCAUAUCGACGGCGGUGUUUGGCACCUCGAUGUCGGCUCAUCACAUCCUGGGGCUGAAGUAGGUCCCAAGGGUAUGGCUGUUCGCCAUUUAAAGUGGUACGCGAGCUGGGUUUAGAACGUCGUGAGACAGUUCGGUCCCUAUCUGCCGUGGGCGCUGGAGAAUUGAGGGGGGCUGCUCCUAGUACGAGAGGACCGGAGUGGACGCAUCACUGGUGUUCGGGUUGUCAUGCCAAUGGCACUGCCCGGUAGCUAAAUGCGGAAGAGAUAAGUGCUGAAAGCAUCUAAGCACGAAACUUGCCCCGAGAUGAGUUCUCCCUGACUCCUUGAGAGUCCUGAAGGAACGUUGAAGACGACGACGUUGAUAGGCCGGGUGUGUAAGCGCAGCGAUGCGUUGAGCUAACCGGUACUAAUGAACCGUGAGGCUUAACCUU
rnacentral:rRNA from 1 species